GCAGAAUCAAUGGGCAGCAAUGGAUUGGGUACCUUCCUCUCUCUCCUCCCCCUCCAUCCUUCCCCUCCUCCCCCCCUAAAAAAAUCUUCUUCUUCUUCUCUCUAUUGUUAGUUUAGUACUUUGAUAUUUGACUUGUGAUCUUUAGUUCUAUCAAUUGAGCACCGUUACUUGUCAGGGAAUAUUCUUUUAUUUUCCCACCCCUCUUUUAAUGACUUUCUCAUUUUAUCUUUUUAGCCAA
rnacentral:misc_RNA from 1 species